rnacentral:lncRNA from 1 species
GCAAAUAAUUGACCCAAGGGUUGAGCAGAUAUAUAGGGAUUGGAAAAAUACAAAGUGAGCACCAAUGAUACCGCACCAGUACAAAGAGCAUAUCACUCACCAGCUAAUCUAGCUUGAAAUGAUAGGGAAAGAACCUUGACUGAGAUCUUCAAUCACUGUGACAGCCCAAAUGAAUAGAGAAAAAACACAAUUAAUAAACACGGGGACAAAGUACCUGAGAAGCAGAAACAAACUUCUAUGCACAAAAAAAUUGUGCAAGUAAACAAACAUCCAGUUGUACUGAGACUUGAAUGAUCCUUGUUUUAUAAUAUAACUUAAACCCAACCAUGAAUUUACGAAAAAUUUAGGUAGAAUUAUUAACAUAACUCAGGAAAAAAAAAACUCAACUUUGCAAUUAAAUUUCUUACAUAACUUAAACCUAGCAAAUUUAACUAAUUAGAUUCAUCCACAAAAUAAAUUUUAACAUAACCUCAAAGAGUUUCUUCUAACCAAGUAAACCAUUACUCUACAAAAAAACAUGUAGACAAAGCUCUUAUCAAAAUCACAAUAUUGUAAUUAACAGGAACUCCAACAUAAUCUCAGCUAUGCACUUUUCCAAAACGAAGGAAAAAUUUACUUUGUAACUUAACUUAAUAUACAAAACCACCAAUUUAGUCACCUAAAAUUCAUAACCAACACAGAAAACAACUCCAAAUCCUCAGGUUUACACAUGUAUGAGCCAAAGGUCAAGUUUUUACAAAACACUCAUCCCACAAUAUGAAAAAGUAGAUCGAAAAAUUUAAUUUUUGUAUAGAAAUAAGCCAAAGGUUCAAUUUUUACAAACACAGUCAUUUUAUACACAAUAAGCAUACAUAAAAACGUAAAACUUGACAAAUUUUCAUUAACUUCUCAACCAAUACAAAGAACUUAGUGGGUGCUGAUGAAUGAAAAAUAAUUUAGAAUUGCUUUUACAUUUUUAUUAUUUUCUAAGUUUUUUAACGGAGUCAAAUUAAACUGACAUGCUUAAAAAAAAAUGAUACCUGUAAGGUUGGAGUUAUGUAAAUCCAAUUUCACUACCACCUUCUA